rnacentral:lncRNA from 1 species
CAGAAGUCAAUUCCUAUGCCGGCGGCCGGUUUGCACAAAUUAGUGUUUCUUCUUUCCUUUUUUUUUUCUAAAAUAAAUAUAUACUAAAAGUGAUAAAUUUUACUAACUUAAUUUAACUAUAUGGAACAAAUGGUAUAAGAUCUUAAACAAAUGAUACUUUAGUCCAUUAACUAUCAGUUAAGUCAAUUAUCCACAAUUACCCAUCAAAUAAUUAACUAAAGUCAAUGAAUAGUUCAAAAUUUUAAAAAAAUAACUUUCUGGGUCAUUACAUUAUCCACCACUAAAAAUCAUGUUCGUCCUCGAACAUAAUGAAGAAGAACUAAGAGUAAUUGAUAUUACCAAAAGCGUGAGUUAUGACCUAACUGUCAGUGUUUAUCUCUCUAAGUGAGCUCAUCCUUAAAAUCAUUCCAUCAAAAUCAACUACUAAUAACUGAACUUUUAAACAAACUUUGUAAGAUCUAUAAGUUAAGUGUGAUUAUCAGGCCACCAACUAACUCAUGAACCUAAUCUAAACUGAAACUCAUUGGACAUUAACUCACAACCAUCAUGAUGAAUAUAUAUUUAUUUUCACAUAACCAAGAUAACCAUCCGAAUCAAUAUUGACUACAACUAGAAGUGAGCCUGAAUCAAUCACUAAACACUCAUAAUGCACAAACCAUUACAUAUAUUAUCAAGAUUUCUCUUUCACAACACAAUCUUUUCACGAAAUUAAAUCAUAAAAUCUGAUUUUUUUUGACAUUGAGUACUCAUCAAGGGGGAAUCAAACUUAUCUAAGUCAAGGAAUGAAUUGAUCAAGUAAUCACUCAACAAGCAAUAUAACUCAAAAAGCAGAACCUGUAACAACACUAUUAGACAAUUGUAACUCAUAGUAGCUCUUAUAUAAGUUCUCAUAAGCAAGGUUGUGUGAAUAGAACUAUUGAUACAUUUCAACUAUUCCAAACAAUACCAAAUCCAUCAUAACUUAAAUGACUGAGUUUUCCCAAGGAUCCUACCCUAACAAGAGGAAACAAGAGGAUCGGUACAUCGAUCCACCACUAGGGAUUCACCCAUAGAUGUGAAAACACGAGUAGCAUAAGCAGUGAUUCAUACUCCAGAUAAUAUCUAGUACGAAGAAAGUUGUCAUAUAAAAAUUCUUCCAUUAUGCCCAUAUAAAUAAAAUUAUUUCAUUUGACUCUAUCUCUCGACUUCUUCUUUUAGCUACCAACAAUCAACCAAACUGACCCCAUUACAAUAUUACAAAUACUAGAUUCAUCGAACCCCACAUACUUCUCAAGUACUCCAUUGAAUUCAACGCUCUUAAAACCAACAAUCAUCAUAAAUAUACCAGUCAUUUACCUUACUCUCAAACUGUUGCUAGUAUUAAAGUCUCCUUAAAAAAAUACAUUACCACCUCCAAAAUUUGAAACAAUGGCGCUCUCUCUUUCCAUUUAAACGUUCUGUGAAAGAUACGCAUCACACAUAAGAUUGAUAGAACUACUUCCAAGUCAAUAAUACUUUUCAUCGAGGUAAAAUAAUUGAAGCACACCCAACGCUACUCUACGCAAUAUUUCACAUACCAAAUUUAAACUAAUAUACAAAGUAAUUAUAUAUCUUAUAUCAACACUUACAAAAAAAUUGAUCACCCAAUUUACUUAGUAUACCAUAAGUUCAUUAUCUCUGAUCACCAUCAAAUGCUAAUGUAACAGAUCAUAAUAGUCUGUAUUGGCCAAUCAACAAAGUAAUUUCAAUCUCCUUGAAAUCCUCAUUAAUCAUGUAAAACUGUAGGUCCACACUAUUUAACAUCCAUUUGUUACUUAAUCACAUUCUGAACAAUCUAGCUCGACAUAACCAUGUAUAAUCUUCCAUACGUCAUUUAUUGUAACCAUCAAAACUUAAUAUUUAGAAAAGUUAAUAACAAAUCCAUAGUAAGUAGGUGCUGAACUAGUUCACAUCUCAUAGUCACAUCUAAACUCAAAGGCGAAAUCGCUACAACCAUCACCUCCGAAUCCAAUGAUUGUACGAGAGAUCUUAUUGUUCCUUUGCCUUUCAUAAAAUCUUUCCAUGACGGAAAUUUCAAAUAACUUUAACUCUUCAAUACACCAUAAUUUCUCUCCUUUUUGCUAACUCACUUACAAGUCGUUUUUUUUUUGACCAACAAUAUGGGAAACCUUAGGUAUAACUACCAAAAGUAACCAAAUGAACUGCUCAAAUUUUAAGUCCUUCUAAAUGCUUCAUACUCAAUGUGAUCGAUCAUUUCUUACCUUACCAAUUCAUACCUUUACAAGAUACAUUAUCAUAAAUCAAAACUCACCAUGUAAACUUGAAGUUUUGAUCCCAACCAUGUAACACAAUCCCAUUAUCUGACAAUAUUAGCUCAUACCUAAAAAAAUUACUUAACGUAUUUUAGUUAUCAUUGAUUGCCUCUUCAUUGACUCUACCAUAUCUUUUUCUAAGAAUCUUAUCAUACUCCUCACCAAAUCAAAACCACAAAAGAACUAAUCAUGAUACUCGAGUUGAACGUCCGUACUCCUUUCUCAAGUUUUAUCCAAUAGUUUUUUUAAUCAAUCUAUUGAUCUUGUCACACUAUAUUAUAUCAUAAUCUGGAAGAAACAGGUAAAAUCACUUGUCUCUGAACCCAAUUCUCCAAAUUCCUCUGAAGAUACAUCCUUAACCCUUGCAACCAAAGUAAAAUAGCCUAGAUUAAUGCUCGGUCAUGAAAAUUAAACUAUAUACCACUAAUUCUUUCCAUUAUGGCUCUAGCCCCUUUCAAUUUUAUUCGAUGAAAUCCCAACUCCUUAUAAAAAUUACCAUAAAACCACAGUACUUAUGAAAUAGAAACAACCAUAACCAUAGAAACUCAAAAUUCAUAAUUACCAUAAAAGAUCGUUUUAACCAACACCCGUAUCAUAUAGUUGCAUUUCAAUCAUAAUGCGUCAUACAAUUUUAUAAUCAUCAUGCUUAGUUCGUCAUUUCCCUCACUACAAAUUUAUCAUUGCCAUUAACAUGACAAUCCAAACCUAGCUAUGCCAACCAUCCAAGGUACUUACACAAUUUAUAUGUACUUUCUUACUAAAAUUCUCAAUUAAAUUCACACAAGUAUAACUUUUUGAGACUUCCUUUACUUAUAAGCUUAUCAUCCAUAUUUCCACUUCCAUGGAGUUAACGAUGAAAUCGACACUCAUUUACAAUCCACAAAAUACAUAUCACAACUUGAAUGUAUCAAUAUCAUACCAAAGAUCCACCACUAAAUGCUUCCUUAUAAAUAAUUCUUAACACAUCCACUCCAUAUAUUGCUUAUACAAGAUAAGUACUAUAUUUAUUAUUAUUAUUUUACAAUAAUAACAAACCUUGCUCAACGUUUUCAAAUAUAAUCACACAUUCGUUUCAUAAGUAUAUCAUUUCCACCUUAAUACUAAAUCUAACAUCAAACCAAUACAUGACAUGUCAAUGAUUCACAAAAGGAACUACGCACGAGUCAUCAUAUAAACGAAAGCGAAUGGGGUGAAGCGAUAACAAUCAAAAUGGGACCAAGUACGCACCAAAGAGAUCCAAGAAGUGAAGAUAUUUCCUAAAAGUCACUAUAGCCUCUCGAAGAUAGGUACAGACGUCUCCGUACCGAUAAUCGAGACUCUAUUUAGACUCGACUUGUACACACGUGAGACCUAUAAACCUGGGGCUCUGAUACCAUGUUGUCACGAUCCAAAAACAGACGUGAUGGCACUCGUCUUUUCCCACCAAGACAAGUCAGCCUAAAACUCAAUCAUUACAAUAAGUGCGGAAAUAAAAUAUAAGUAACUUAAUAAAAACACCAAAACCUUGUAGUCACGUGUACAAGUCUCUAAAGUAUUACAAUUGAUUCAAAAGAAAAACUCAAGUCUCAAAUGAACUUGUUUCUAGAAUAGAACAAGAUCAUAAUUGUGGAGAAGAAAGUCUGCUGAGAUGGAAACAGCUACCUCACAAAUCUCCAAGAAGUCUCGGAAAAGAAGAGAAUGACAAGUACAACAAAAAUCCAGGCUCAUAACCUACAAAAAAAUUUGUAGUAGCAAGGGGUGAGUACCAAACCACACGGUACUCAGCAAGUAAACCUCUAAACACAAGCUAAGGGGAUGAAAUACGGGUACUCCUACCACCCCAACCGAACCUCCACAACUACAACUUGCAUAAACAUCAGCCAAACCUAACAUCUCAUAAUUUACAUAGUACGUAACUUAAUACAUAGCACGUAACUCAAAAAAAACAAUAGUUACACAAAUUACAUAUCCUCAACAACAACACUUUAACGAAUUACAUAUCCUCAACAAUAAUACUUCAACAAAUUACAUAUCCGCAAUAACAAGCUCAAUAUUGAUCUAUCACAAGUUCCACAGGAGGCAAUCAGAAGAUCAGCAAAACACGAUAUCAUGUUCACUAAUAAUAAGUAUGUGCAAUGCAAUGAAAUGCAAUGUCAAGUAUAAUGAUGCAUGUCUGACCUAAUGAUACACACGCGUUGUCUCUCAGUCUGGGACCCAUGGGGGACAUAUCCGUCCAUGCAUCUGUCGCGGCGCACGACACGACCCUCGAUAAUAGUAACCAUCACGGCGCACGAUACGUCUUUCGAAAUAUAGUAUCCAUCGCGGCGCACGAUACAUCCCUCGAAAUGGUACAUCCUCUUAAGUACCCAUUCAUUCUCAAUGCACAUAACACUUAUCAUAACCAAUGCCUCAGAAUAAUGCAGAUGACAAGUUCACACAAAUAAUGAGGAGAUUACCAUUUUCAUAACAUCGCACAGUUCACAACAACACAAACAUGAAGUUACAUCAACAAUGAUUCAACAAGCCUUCAACCAUUUCUCAACACAACACACAUAAACAAUUAAUCACAUUGCCCUUUUGUUAUCCUCAUUCUUUUCAUCAUUAGAAUUAAUCAAUGUGGACAAGUCAAACCAUCACCAAUCCCAUUACUCCCAAACAUAUACCACAAAGACAUACACGUAUUUCAUACACUUAACAAGAGUCUAGAAAUCCACUUGCCUCAAGUAGUCGAACAAUGACUCCAAAAUUCAAGCCUUCGCUUUCGUUGGGCUUCCAAACCAAUGCAAUCUAUCAAAAUAUUUACUGAGGAUAAUAUUUCGAAACGAACAACACCCAUAUUACUAUUGGUUUAGUCUAUAUUUAAAAACUUACCCAAAUCAAAAAUCAAUUUCCUAAAUUUUGAUGUCAAUUAACAUGUCAACUCACAUGUUUUUUUUAUGAAUUUUAAAUCUAGGAUCAAGUUCAAAUUUCUCAAAGUAUCAUCAAUUUAACAAAAUAAAAAGAAGAAUUUCAAGAAAAUUAAUAACUUUCAAAUAAUCUAUCGUUGCACCAACAAGAUGAAUCCAAUUUAAUUCAUGUUUUUCCUUUCAAACCUAUAUGCCAUGAUGGUAAUCAUUAUCCAAUAAUGACAAUUGAUAUAAGCAAUCACUGGCAGAAACUUGCUGCCCCAAUCUUUUGCCAUAAUUUCCAUCCUAUAAUUUCCACUUGAAUCAUCCAACAAUUUAUAAGUGCUAGUAAUAAAAAAAUAUAGCUCAAAAUCUCAAUUCACUUUAACCAUUAACUUAACAAUCAAUUGGAAAUGACUACAUAAUGAUUAUUCCAGAAACAAAAUAACCAAAGUCCACCCACUGUAGUUAUAUAUAUAUAUGAUAAUCGAGCAUAUAGAUUCCAAUCCAAAAUUUGCUUAUUCCUCUUUCUCGAUCUACCAAUAAUAAUAAUAAUAAUAAUAAUAAUAAUAAUAAUAAUAAUUUAUUACAUUUUGACCUCUAAGCAUAACAUAUUCACAAAUACACAAAUUAAUGCAGGAUUCAAACUUACCUCGAUCAAAGCUUAAGCGAUUCCCAUGCCGACCAUCGUUUUCCAGGUAAUUUCAUUUCCUUUAUUUUCUUUUGUACUCCUUUUUGUUUCACUAUCUUAUAUUAUAAUAUUAUUAAUAAUAAUAUAACCUAUAACUAUAUACUUUAAUAGAUCAACUGAAAUAUUACCUAAUGUGCAGAAGUCAAUUCCUA